rfam:Tupaia chinensis contig163344, whole genome shotgun sequence.
GCAAAGGCUUCACUAGAAGCCAUAUAAUGUUUUUAGACUUGUUAAUU